UGAAGGUUGAAGAGCUUGAGUUAAAGAGUUCAUUUCAAAAAGUCCAUUUUUGGUAUCAACGUCUGGAGAAAUGGCCUUAACCAAGGCAGCCAAAGGAUCACCAUAGGUAACCCGACAAAAGGACAAAAGGAAACACCAACAACACAAUAAAAUAUAACAGCGACAACAUCAACAGGUCACUUUCGCAGAUCACAUUGGGUGACAAUCAGAUCACAAGAAGAAUAAAAAAUCAACAAUAAAAGUAAUUGUCGAUGAGAAAAAGUGAUUUGUGAUCCAAUUUAAUUACUUUGUUGGAAUUUAAUUCAAGUGAUUUUUGUUUGGAAUUUCAAUUUUUAAUUGUCAAUGUUAAAUUGUUCCCAUCAAGAGUAAUCAAUAUGUGAGUAUAAUUGAUUAAUUAGUGGAUGAAAGUUAAUUAAGAUUUCAUCAAAUGGUCAAUCACAUUGAUCAUCAUCUUCAUCAUGUUUCUAAAUUCAUCUUCAUCACGUUAAUUGUAUUUUCGGUGAAAAAUUGAUUUUUUCUCUCUCUCUCUUCUUGAUUGUAAUUGAUUAAGUUGUUAAUUACAUCUUGUCAGGCUUUAGUUCAAUUACUUUUGUUUGUGAUGAUCUUUUUUUUUUAAAUUUCUUCUUCAAUCAAAUCUAAAUCUGAUUGUUAAUUAAAAGUAACACUCUCACUUGUGAUGAGUUCACAAUUAACUAAUAACAAUUAACUUUCCAAUCCUUUUUCGCUAUUGUUUAUCAACAGGUAAAUAUAAAUGACAGGUUAAUAUUGUUUAUAUUAUUAUCCGUUCAACUAUUAACUAAUUGUUGUAAUUAUAAAUAUAUACUCAAAAUCGUCAAUGUCAAUUGGUCACAAAUCUAUCAACAAUCAAUGUAUAUACAUAAUUAAAUGUCUGGAAAUUUGAACUGUGCUUGGAAAUCAUGAAAAUUUAUCAACAAUUAAAACUUAUCAAUAGUAAAGUUCAACCACCAGCUAAAUGAUUAGUGAAAUAAUCAAAGAAUUCAAUCAAUCCAGGUCAAUCUAAAUGAGAGAAAAAAAAUCAUUGUAAUUAAUCUGAUCUUUUCUCAUAUAAUAUAAAUUGUUUGAGAGAAAAUGAAACAUUUAAACUCAUACAAUCAAAUAGUAAGACAACAAUUAAAUUGCAAUUAGAUCCAAAUCAUAAUUGUCAAUAAGUUACUUUCCGUCUAUUGUAAUAGUUAUGUUUGUUGCUCUGAUUUUGUGUCCAGUCCAAGAAAAAAAUCGAGUCCAUUUUAGUGUUGAAUUUAAAAGUCUUUGUUUUUUUUUGUCAUUUGCUCCAUUUUUUUUCGUGUCAAUAACUGUAACCAUGUAUUAUCAUCAUUAUAUAUAUUAAAUUGCUAAAUAAUAAAUGGAAAUAUACAAUUACAGUUACCAAGAGUUUUUGUUGAACACAUUGAUUGGAAAACAAAAUGCUGAGUAAAUUGCAUAUCUACAGUAGGAUAAAAAAACACAGGUUAAAUCAAGCUACACAAUCAGCUGACAAAGUUGAGUGUUGAAUGACAAGAAGCAAAUCAGAUAAAGAGAAAGAGAAAGUCAAUAUUGAUGAUGAGAAAAAAAAGUCAACUGUCAACAGCGUGACAACAACAACGAACAACCAGAACAAGUAAAGUAAGAAGAGCAUCAGCACCAAAUUGGAAAAAAACACUUUCUUUUUGUCUUUAAAGAGAAGAGAGGAAAAAAUUUGAUUAUCACUAUCAACGGAUUCUAAUAAUUAGCCAAGAAUAAAAUUGCAACAUAAUUAAUAACCAAAUCAACGAAAAGUGAAACCCAAGAGUAACAUGAAAUCGUUUGAGUUGAAAGAGAGAUGAUAUUGUCAAGAACAACGAUAAAAUUGGUUGUGGUUUCGAUAAUAAUUCCUCAAACUGACCACCAAAUUCUGUGUCAAAGGUCAGUCUCUCUUAUAUUCUAAAAUGACCACUUAUCCAUUUUCAUCGAUACCAUUGAAUGAAAAAUCAGAAUCAGACAUUUGAUGGACGAAUUGAGAAUUUGAAUUAUCGAACCAGAUCGAAGUGUGAAUAGUUCAGGGACGAGAUUUCUACCGAAAAGAUUGAGAAGUUAAAGAUUCUCAAUAAUUAGGCCAAUAAAUUAAUCGAAAAAUUUGCAAGUUAAUUGUUCAACUAAUCACAAUCAAGCUUGAAAAAGAUUCAAAUGUAUUAAUACAAAUGUCCAGGAGGAAAAGGUGAAAGGUAAGUGACAAAUUAGAAUCCAUUUGAAUUAACAGCGAACCAAUUAAUCGGCAAUUUAAACGACGAAAUAGAAAAUCACCAAGAUUAAAAGCCAUUAAUUAAAUUCUAAUUAGUCUAAUCAGCUAUUUAAAUCACGAUUAGAAUAAAAAAAUGAAAAAAAAAACCGAAAAACAAUCGAACCGUUGAAAUGUUAAUCAUCUGAUCAAUGGAAAAGAAAAAAAAACAAAUGGUAAUUUAUAUACAAUCCAUUUGUCAUUUUCUCUAUUCUUUUUUGCUAAUUGAUUAGUUUGUUACCUUUUUUGUUGCUCCUUCUAAUUUGUUAAUUGUUUUCUCUUUUUGUUACUAAUUAUUAGUUAUUAGUUAAUAUUAUGUAAUAUUUUCUCUUCUCUUUUCUCUCUACCUGAUGAUUUGGUUGAUUGGAAUCACAAUUAGCAACUGUUGCUGUUUAAUUAACUUCUCUUGUCGUGUUUCCAAUGGUGUUUAUUGUUACAAUGUUUCUAUAAAACGUAUUCUCGUUGACCCUUUUCUAAUUAUCCAAUUAAAUUAAUCAUCUCUUUCUCUCUCUCUCUUUAAAUACA